rnacentral:misc_RNA from 1 species
CACGUGUUGGGGUACCCAAAACCUGCAAGUGAAUCACAAAAACUAUUGUAAGAAAGGAAAGAAAAUAAAAUAUAGAAAUAAAAGGAAGUUUGCAUUUUCUAAUCUCAGCGAAAUGGCAAGGUCUGUUCUAGUUCAAUAUGAGUAAAUAUUUGAAUAUUCUUGACAAGACUUAAACAAUCACUUUUCAAAUGAGGAUUGUCAUAAGAAAGGUCCAUAGGGCUAGAAAUGGCUAGGAUGGCUAAGUUUCAAUAGCAAUCACAAGUUCUACCUACUAUUGGAUUUGAACCAAUGACUUUCUGAUACAGUAAAAAAUGGAUGGGGCUUAAUACAGAUUAUCUGGUGCCCUUUUUUGGUGAGUAAUUUUACAAACAAGUAUUACCUUUAUAAUUUCAACAAG